AUUGGAGGGCAAGUCUGGUGCCAGCAGCCGCGGUAAUUCCAGCUCCAAUAGCGUAUAUUAAAGUUGUUGCGGUUAAAAAGCUCGUAGUCCGAGUUCAGUUUCGGACUGGGGCGGGAGGUCACCGCCCGGUGCUUGCCCCCCAGUCUCCGAACAGCGUUCCCUUAGGGGAGGCCAAGCCGGUCCCGGCGGGGUGCUCUUCACCGAGUGUCCCGUGCGGCCGGCCAGUUCACCUUGAAUAAAUGAGAGUGCUCAAAGCAGGCUACUCUGGAAUACAAUGCCCGAAUGUUAACUGCAUGGAAUGAUGGAAGAUGAUCUCGGUUCCAUUUUGUUGGUGGUGGGAGCCCGAGGUAAUGAUAAAGAGGGACUGUCGGGGGCAUCCGUACUACGACGCGAGAGGUGAAAUUCAGUGACCGUCGUAGGACGAACAACAGCGAAAGCAUUUGCCAAGAAUGUCUUCGUUGAUCAAGAACGAAAGUUAGAGGAUCGAAGGCGAUCAGAUACCGCCCUAGUUCUAACCCUAAACGAUGCUGACUAGCAAUUCGCCGUCGUUAUUCCCAUGACGUGGCGAGGCGCCCCCGGGAAACCUCAAGUUUUUGAGUUCCGGGGGUAGUAUGGUUGCAAAAGUGAAACUUAAAGGAAUUGACGGAAGGGCACCACCAUGAGUGGAUCCUGCG
rnacentral:rRNA from 1 species